CUCAGGGCCUCCGGGAGAGCCGGCCCGGGGCGGGGGGCCCGGUCCGGCGUCCGAGGGCGGGGCGGGGCCCGCGUCGUGGUGCCGAGGCCGGGGACCGCGUUCCGCGCCUGCAGCCCGCCCUGCGGUUCUGCGUCGUGGUUCCGAGUCCCGGUCCCAUCUGGAGCCGCCCUCACGGUCCUGCCUCGCGGAUCCGAAUCCGGGGGUCGAAUUCCGCGCCUGGAGUCCGCCUCGUGUUUUUGAGUCCGGGUCGGAUUCCGUGCCUGGAGUCCGCCCCGCGGCCUCGCAUCGUGGUUCCGAGUCGCGGAUCAGAGCUGGGGUCCGCAGUCCGCCCCGUGGCCCAGCCUCGGGGAGCAGAGUCGGGGGUCGGAGCCGGGGUCCGGAGUCCGUCUCGCGGUCCCGCGUCGUGGAUUUGAGUCGUGGAUCGGAGCCGGGGUCCGGAGUCCGCCUCGCGGUCUAGCCUCGUGGUGUCGAGUCGGGGGUCGGAGUGGCCGUCCGGGGUCCGCCCCGCGGUCCUGUAUCGCGGUUCUGAGUCCCGGGAUCGGAGCCAGGAUCCGGGGUCCGCCCCGCGGUCCAGUCUCGAAGUUCUGAGUCCCGGGAUCGGAGCCAGGAUCCGGGGUCCGCCCCGCGGUCCAGUUCGCGGUUCUGAGUCCCGGGAUCGGAGCUAGAAUCCGGGGUCCGCCCCGCGGUCCAGUUCGCGGUUCUGAGUCCUGGGAUCGGAGCCAAGAUCCGGGGUCCGCCCCACGGUCCAGUCUCGAAGUUCUGAGUCCCGGGAUCGGAGCCAGGAUCCGGGGUCCGCCCCGCGGUCCAGUUCGCGGUUCUGAGUCCUGGGAUCGGAGCCAAGAUCCGGGGUCCGCCCCACGGUCCAGUCUCGAAGUUCUGAGUCCCGGGAUCGGAGCCAGGAUCCGGGGUCCGCCCCGCGGUCCAGUUCGCGGUUCUGAGUCCCGGGAUCGGAGCCAGGAUCCGGGGUCCGCCCCGCGGUCCAGUCUCGAGGCUCUGAGUCCCAGGAUCAGAAUCGGGGUCCGCCCUGCGGUUCUGAGUCCCGGGAGCGGAGCCGGGGUCCAGAGCCCCCCCCCCCCCCCCCCCCCGCCUCGCCGCGGUCCAGUCUCGCGGUCCCGCGUCGUCGGGAAUCCGUCUGGGUCCGACGUUCUGAUUCCGAGGCUCGGGGUUCCCGCUGCGGGGUCCGGGCAGUCUGCCCGAGUGAAGGCGGGAGUUCGCGGGGGGAAUCCGUGUCCACGUGGUGGUCCGAGUGCGGGUCGGGGCAGCGAUCUGCGUCUGCGCGGGGAGGCCGCCUUGCUGCCGACGUGGCAGACUCGCGGCUGGGCGGGCUGGGCGCGCUGGGGCGGGCUCCGCGCCAAGAUCCCGGCCGCGGUCCGCGACUGCGCUGCGCUGAGUGGGGGGGGUCUAGAGUCCCAGUUCGAUUCCCAGGUGGGAGGAGGGGCUCUGGGUCGGGGCGGCUUCCCGGGAUUCGAGCCAGAGUGGUGGUUCCGAGUCAGGACUGGACGCUCUGGAAGGUGCCGGUUCCCAGGCAGGUCUGGGUGGGGAGUCCGACUUGGACAUCGGGGCUGGGGUUUGGGGUCCGAGUUGGGGAUCCCAGUCAGAAGUUGGAACGGAGGUUUCUCGUUGGGGUGGGGAUUCUGAGUCACAGCCGCUGGGAGUUGGGUUUGGAAUCACGGGUCUAAGUAGGGGAGGGGAGUGCGGAAUGGAAGUCUUGGUCACGCCCGGGAUUGGAGUCGACGACUGGAGUCACGGCUCUCAGUCUGAACGGCAGUGGGGGCCGGCCUGGGACCUGGCUUCCCCUGAGCCCCAACCCCAGUGUUCUCAGCAUAGCAGACGGCCUUUUCUGCGAAACGGGGAUGAGUGCCUUCUUCCCGCAGGACGGUUCUGGUCGUGGCAGGCAUGAGCCCCUCCAUGCCAGAGCUCUGCCUAGACGGACGGAGAGCCACCCCGGACAGGACGUUGCUAGCACAGUAACGCUCGCAUUUUGGGUACAUUUGCCGGUCCCUCUCUGUACUGCGGUGCCCGUGAUGGACCGAGAGCUCCCAGGAGGGACUUUUCUGUUCUUUCUCUGCUGCCCCCCCCACACCCCCCGCACCCCCCCCCCCCCCCAGCCGAGAGCCUGAUGCACAGCCUUGCAGGACUCGGGGAAGGAAAGCAGGCAGGAUUAACCAGAUUUCCAUGGUGUCUCAAAUGACCCAUCUCUGCACCUGUUUUCCAGAUACUCACUGGGAGAAAAAUUUAAGGAUUGGGUUGCUUGAUUACGGUUCUAUUUUAAUGUGUUUCCAAACAUGUUAAAGAGAAAAGUGGGCCUGUUUCAGGAUUUAUGCUCCAGCUAGAGGGAUCUUUUAAAUUGGGAAUCAGAGCAUGUCCAAAUUCAAAUAAGGAGAGCAUGAGAACAUUAUGAACUAGUUCCCUCGUGGGUGCCGAGGUCCCACGCACACCGUCCGCUCACCGAGUGCAACAGUGUGCUACAGCGUUCUUCGACAAGGGGGAUUUCUCCUAGGAAUGCAGAGAUGAUCCAAUAUCAGAAACUCUACCCGUGUAAUUCACCACGUUUAGAGACCAGAGGAGAAAAACCAUAUGGUUCUCUCAGUAGAGACAGAAGAAUUACACAGUUCCAGGCCUCUGCCUGAUUUUAGGGCGGGGGUGGGGGUGGAUAGCACUUAGCCAGCCCGGAGGAGAUGCCCCGAUGUGAUACAGAUUCUGUACCAAUGACUGACUUUUCAGCACACUGUCUCCGUCCCUUCCAGCGGGGGACAAGGCACAGGGACCACCACAGGCAUCCUCUCCCUCUCAUGAGGGAAGGGAACAGAGCCAAGGGAGAGGCCCAGGAGAGAGGGAACCGCCCGUCCCGAGACGAGAAGCCUCUGCUUCUCGGACAAAGUGUUGAAGUCCCCAGAGCACCUGGUUCACGUGGGCUGGAUCUGUGGGUGGGUAGUUAGCCCCUCAGAAGCUAAACCUGAGAAACAUGAAAAACCGAACCCAGGGCCAUCCCGGCAUGGAUUCCGGCGGGUCACGCUUCCUUUGGGAAACUCUUGAGCUUUGUGAGAGUGAAAGCAGAACAGGCAAAUAACGUCCGAGUAUUAGGAUGAAAGUGGUUUUGACCUUGGGCGAAGGCCUCCAGGGCUCUCUGGGGUCCUCAGACCACACUCUGAAAACUGCUGAGCUGUGUGAAAAAGAGCCAACUUUUGCAGAAUGGAAAAGAGGCGAGAGCAAAGGUUUGGGGAUAGACGAUCGACCCCCCCCCCCCCCCCCCCCCGCACGUGAGCCAGUGUGAGUGAGCGAGAAGCAGGAUAGAAGUUACAGCAGCAACACUUAAGCCCGGUCAGGAAUUAACAAAGACGACUUUUAUGGAGAAAACCUUUGCUGAAGUAUGUAAGGGAAGACGGACUGACGUGGAGACGGGCCGUUCUCGUGGACGGGGCAGCUCAGCAUGAGGAAGGGUCAGGGUUUGCCCAGAUCUUUAGUGCAGCUCUGCUUCAACUUCCAGUUGGGGUUUUUGAGGAACUUGACAGACAUACUCUAAAACGUGCGUGAAAGGAAAAGUUCUGCAAACACCAAGUGCACCCCGCGGCAGGAGGACAGAGAAGGCCUUGUGCCCGCAGACCCCGGCGCCCGCUCCAAGCCUCAGCGGCAGGAGCGGCGGGGGACGCCGGCCCAGCAGAGACGCCAGAGGCAGCCUUGCCUGAGAGGAAGGUGGCCUGAGACCGAGGUGGUGCCACGUGGCCGCGGGGACCACGUGGAGGACGACUGGGGGAAGCUAGCCCCAAGUGGAGAGACCAGAAUGUGGAUUCCUGCCUGAGCCGCCUGGGAAGAGCAGCCUCCGAAUGGACAGCAGAGUUGCUGCUUAUUCACUAGGACAGUGGGGGGAGGGGGCAGGGCAGCAGGCCGGUGGGGGGAGAGUCACCCCCAGGCCUUGGGAGCCUGGGGCGGGGGCGCGAGGGGGGUGGGUGGGGGUGUGGAACGCAGUACCCAGAAAACACAGCUUCAAACGUGAAAGUCACAGACUUGAGUACUCGCAAAUAAAGUGUUUCUGCUGCAUCAGUCGGUUGUGGUGAAGUACUUUUGGGGAGCCUCUGAGACGGGGCUUGUGUUCACUCUCACUCGCGGGACUCUGCCCAGGUCACUGAUGACAGACGACGCGACGCUUGAAACAAAACCGAUAAGCGGCCGACGGCUGCCCCACACCCGGCCGUCCCGCAGACCGCAGAGAGGAGGACGGGGAGCCCGACCACAGCAGGCAAAGAUUCUGUUGUGAGAGAAGCGAGCGCUCAUGUAGAAGGCACAACAAGGCCAAGAUUCACGAAGGCCGGCCUCCUCCAAGGUCCUCCGGGCCAGCUGCCCAGGGGAGUCGGAGCUCACCGCCCCUGCUCAUCGGAACUGCUGACACCAGGAAAGUGGGCGGUCUGCGAUGGCGAGUGUGGCCUCUGGCGUGGCAGCGGCACAGCUGGCCACUCCGGCUGCCAAGCCUCACCUCCCUCCGGAGCAGAACUGACCAGAACCGACCAGAACCGACCAGCCCAGCAGUGUCCUCCCCAGCCAGCAGCCCUGCUCCAGAGGCAAUUUCAAAUUCCUUAAAAAAAAAAAAUACAGACACAGAAAAAAGACUGAAAGGAAGUAGACCAAAAUGGUAACCGUGUGUGGGUUUGGGUGAAGAAAUGGUGGGUGGUUUCUGUGUCCUUCCUGCUCUCGUUGUGUUUUCUAGUAGUGACGACACCUGCACACGUCGGGAGGCAGCUGGGUGCGGGAGGCUCCCACCCUGCGCCCUUCCGUCCCGACCCCCCCAGGAGCGCCCCCUCGGGGUCCCAAGCCCCGGCCCGCCCCAUAUGUGCCUGAGGCUUCCUUCCCAGCCGUGGGGCCCACGCGUCCCUUGGCUCCCAACGUGGCCCGCAUGUUCACACGGCGAGGCCAGGUCAACCCUGACGCCGGGACGUGCCCAACUGCCCCGAGAUGCAGGAGGGGGCCUCAUUCCCCCUGUGCGGCUUCAAGGGUGACCCCAUGCCAUUGUCACAGUGGCCCCACAGCUUCCAUCCCUGCUUCUAGAUGAGCAGACGGGGGUUCAGAGAGGAUGAAACCUUGUGCCUGAGGUCCCACAGACGGGUUGGGGCCUCCAGGAGCAAGUCAGACCCACAGCCAGUCUGCAGCCCGCACCCCCGAUCCCGGCCCCAUGGCCCCUUGCCCCCAACCCGGGAACAGUCUCCCAGGCAACGUCCCCGCCACACCUCAUGACUGAUUCAAAUCCUGGGUAAUCCCCCAGGUGUAACCCGAGUCCUCCGCAGAGCCCUCCUGCCGGCGUCUGGCGGUGAGGCGCCAGCUCCUGGGUGCCUGGCAGGACCUUUCUUCUCACCUCCGCCUGGGCCCUCUGGGCUCGGGCCCAGGCGCACUCCCCAGGCCAGCCCGUCCCAUGGGGAUGAGCAGAAGCUGCCCCCUGUCCUUCCGGAGUCAGAUUCCCCUCGCCAGCCCCCCCCCCCCAAGAAAUACAGCCCUCUUGGCGGAUUUGCCAAGGGCCUGCAGAUCCAGUGCCGUGAACGGGAACCCCCUCCCCAGGGCAUCCGGACAGCUGCAGCCAGGCCCUGCGUGACAUCGCUGAGCCACGGCCCCGGGCCCGUGCCAGCUGCCUGUGCCCGGCUCACAGACCCCGAGCCAGCGCGGCCGCCACCUGUGUCUGGGCUCAGAGGCGAGAAGUAAGGAGCAUGGACAGAAAGUGUCAAAGCCGUUCCCACCACAGCUGCCAGGAACAGGGGCACGGAGCGGAGUGAGAAUGUAUGUCCACAGCUGGUCCCCGGGUCUGCGAGGAAAAUACCUUGCUUGAGUGGACACCUGUUGUUUUCGCCCGCCCGGCGGCCAGGCCUGGCUCUGGGAAGGGCUCCUUCAGUUGCCUUCCGGAAGCUGUGCCUUCCCCACGCCCCGGGCUGCAGGGGUCAGGCACCCUGUGCCCCAUCGGGCUGUCCUCAGAAGGGGCCCAUGGCCUGGGUCUGAGGAGGGUUCGUACCCUGGUUGGGGCCAAUGAGAGCCGGGCCCCAGCCUCUGGCAGGGACAAUGGGGGAAAGAGACGACCUCUGUGUGCUAUGUGCUCGCCGAGCCAGAGUCCAUCUUGUCCCCUUGGGAAGGGGCUGCCUAAGGCUACAACCGUCCUGGUCCCCAUCCCUGGGGACAGCGCCCGGUGGGUGGGGGGUGAGGGAGAGCAGAGGAGGGAGCCAGCGGGUGGGGGCAGAGCACGGGAGGUGGAGAGUGAGAACAAGCGAGAUCAUCCCAGCCCCGGGUCCAGCUGUGUCUGAAACAGCUGGGGCCAGACGUACGAGCCAAAAAAGGUCCCUUUUGUGCUUCGGCUCACUUGGGUUUGGGGUUCCGUCAUUUGUUACCAGGACAGUCUCCUCAGGAAUGUGCGUGACAAACGGGGCUGAGGCAUGAGCCAAAGGGAGGGGUCUGGGGAGUUGAGGUCCCAGGAGAGCUCAAGCAGGCGCAGGGCAGAGGGGACCAGGGGGCUCCCAAAAGCUGGUGGCUGGCCUCAUCCUGCUGGGACGCCCGCCCGCCCUCUCCACCCCUCCCGUGAGGACCUGUCCAUGCCCCUCAUGCCAGGAUGCCUGGCACUGACCGUGGGAGACCUCGGGCCUUCUGUUCUGUCAGGGAUGUGCAGCUAGAGUGGACAUGGGCAGAGCGGCCACCUGGGAGUCAAGGGCCGAGACGGCCUUGAGAGUCCUGGCCGGUCCCAGGGAGCCGGAAUGGGGGGCAUGGAGGACCCUCGCCCCACAGCUCCCCUCACUGUGAGGUUCCCAGUCCCCUGCACACACGGGCCAUGCACCUGAGGUUAGGGUCUGCACGGCGGGGCCGCCGGGGAGGACGGGCGGCCACUGCGCCGGGACGGGGUCAGCCCCAAGUGCGCACAGGAAGCAGAAAGGGAGUGACACAGCCACCCACAUAACUGUGACCCUCUGGGACCCCCGUGCUCCAGGAGGCCCUGUCCGAGCCUCCCAAGACACGGUUCCAGGGGCUGGUUCCCGGCAGCGCCGACGUACAAUGGAAUCGGGGCUAAGCGCGGCCUCCUCCAAGAGCUGAGCUCACAGGACGUUCCCAAGAAACCUCUGGAGAGGUGGGGAGGAAAGUUUCUGGAGGUCUUUGGAGGAAGAAAACAAAAAAGUGGCCUUGAUUUUCAAGGCAAAAUUACAGAGGAAGAAAAAAAUGUUUUUAAUCUAAUUAAGAGCCAUCUUUUCACCUUCAUCACAACAUCGCGGAAACGUGCCAGGGCCUCACUUCACACAAUAAUCAGAGCAAUUAGUGAGGGAGAAGCCUUGGAAACCGGUGCAGAUGUUCUCAGAAUGUUUAAUGGGGAAAUGAGUUGCAGGCCUCGUUCUCAGCAUCCGGCUCCAGGCCCUGGCUGCCCACUCCAGACAUCUGCCGGGCCCCGCCCCCAGGCCCCGAGGGCACGGGCUUGAGAAACGCACGUUCCUUCCCAGGCCGCCUCCCAGCCAGGCCAGAUCUGGGGCUGAGAGGCUCCCCAUGGCUCCCCAAGCUGGAGCCUGGACACAGUCAGAGCCACCCCAGAGCUGGGGGGAGGCUUAACGUCAAAAUUAUGUUAACAACUGAUGUCAAAAAUAAUCAACUCAGCCUGGCUCCCCCACCCGGUCCCUGCUGGCUGCGGGAGGGCCGGGAGGCAGGGAGAGGGCAGGGGGCCCCGAGGGGAGCUCGGCGAAGGCCGCCCCCCACCCCCAAACCCCACGUUCACACAGACCCCACCGCAUCGUGAAAAGACACAGUGCUUCUGCCCACGAUGGCCGCGGGGGCCCCAUUCUGACGCCGCCAGCCUCUUUGUGGGUCCAGGAGUCCAACUGGUUGAACAUGAGGCAUUUCCAAUCAUCAGAGAACACACGGAGAAACAAGAUGGUGUUUUACCUAAGAACCAGUCGGUUCUGGAGAGGAGGGGGCACAGGGCUGAUGUUCUCGAAGCCCAAGUGGGCCAGGCAGCUCGGCAGAGCUUCCCGGAGGGGACACAGCAGUAACGACACACCCCAUCCCUGCACUCCGGGACCUGCCAGCUGCUUUUGUGAGCACAAUCUCUGACCUCGGGGCGUGUGCAGCCACUCCCGGGCCUGGCCAGCAGUGAGAGUGGGGUGGACCCCCUUCAGGGCAGCACCGCAGCCCCCUUAGCAGCUGGUGGGGCCGCUCUGAGGAGUGCUCUGUGUGGCUUCCCCGCUGCCCCGUGCAGGGCUCACCCACGGUGUGAGUGCGGCAUGAGGGGUCCUGAAUCGGGCUCCGUAUCCAGUGGUACUGACCCAAGACAUGGUGACAGGAAGCCACUAGAGCAGUUUAAGUAGGAGAGCAGCAAGGUCCUCCUUCGUGUUGACAGAAUUCCCCGGCUGCUGCGUGAAGAACGGAGGGGAAGAGGCAGGAAUGGAAACCGAAUGACCGGUGAAGAGGACAGGCCAGCCACCCAGGCAGAGAGAGCAGCGUGGCCUGGGAAGGGGGCUGGAGGGGAGGCCAGCGGUGGGCAAGGUCCGGAGAGCUGACAGAAGGUGCUGAUGGGUUGGACGGGCACAUGAAGGAAAAGGCCUCUAGAAGGCCUCCAGCCAGGCCCAGAGACCAGCGGCGCGCUGCACCCUGAACCUCUGGUUUCAGACCUCCCCUGAACUCUAACACCGAGAAAUGCAGGUGAACCCACAGACAGCGGGUGCCUCCAGCGGCACGAGGAGACAGAGCACCGUGGCCUUCCGAUCACCUUGUGAGCGUAGAAAUGAGCCAGAUCCGAUCAGCACUCUGACCACCUCCCACCCCUGCCAGCCUAUGGCUACGGAGUCAGGAGACGGUCGUUUAAGAGGUUCUGUCAAAAGACAGGAGGAAAGAAAGUGAGCUCGGCAAGAACAGGCAUUUGGAACUCCAAGGACCCUUCCUUCGUGGGGGUGUUGAAAAAUCAAGCCCAGACUGGUCAGAACUAGAGAGCAGUCAGGAAAGAGGCCACAGAAAAGUGGUAGGGGCGUGCAGGCAUUUCCACUUGCCCUUGAAACGCCCUGACCCCUGCUUGGCAGCACUCACUCCCAGUGUGGGACCCUGAUCCUUGGUUCCCAAAGGAGCUGAGACGUGAAAGCUGAUGGGCAUUCCUUGAAAACACCGGGAAGGAGCCCAACAAAUUCCAGUCCCUGCAGGGAGGUUGUCGCUGAGGUACACAGUGGGGCACGGGCAGCCUCGGAAGAAAAGCUGAGAAAUCGUUCUGUCUGGAAACCAGGCCUGAGAAGGCCGAGCUCAUGCCUGGGGCAGGAUGCAUGCGCUGAAAAGUCCCCAGAACACGUGAAGCGUUCCCCUCCCACUGAGCUUUCUGCCCACCCUGAACAGGAAGUGAAGGCUAAGACAGAGUUGUGAACAGCCGGGACAAAGGUCCUGGUGCGCUAGCACAGAUAGAAGAAUUCUUUUAUUUAUUUUCUCUCCCCCCCCCCCCCUUUUCCUGAUCCCUGGCACCCAAGGAACCUUUUGUCAAAAUGCCAACUGAACGUGAGCUUAAGGACCAGGAACGUCAGGCACCAAACAUGACAGCGUUCACAGAUGUCACAGAGACAGGUUAGAUGUCACUAAGCAGCUGUAGCCCACAGCAAGACAAAAACGGUCUUAAGGAAGAGAAAGAAUCUGACACCGGGGGUUACUACAUGUCGUGUGUGGACUAUCCCACUGUCAACAAAAGGGAGGAAAUGUAAAGAAACAGAGGACGGCCCUCCCACGGAAGAAACGAGCCAAUAACGUUCCUGAGGAGGCACAGACACUGAACGGACUAGACAGAGACUUUCAGUCCACUUUCCCAGAUACGCCCAGAACGGAAGGAAAUCGUGAAACAGAUUAAACAUUAAGCAGAAAUUCUGCAACUGCAAAGCAUAAUACCUGAAAUGAGAACUCAGCAGAGGCUUCAUUAGCAUAUCUGAACAGGCAGAAGAAUCGGUGAACAUGGAGAUUGGUCAAUCAGUGGAAAUUAUCCAGUCUAAGGAACAGAAGGAAAAAUAAUCUGAAGGAGUAAGGAGCAAGCAGACCGUUAGGACCUAUGGGACCCCAUCAAGCAUACCAAGAAAUCCAUAAUUGGAAUCCUAGAAGGAGGGGUGAGAAAGGGCCAGGAAGAAUAUUAGAGAAUUAUUAGUUGGCAACUUCCAAAGUUCUUGAAGGCAUGUGAUCUACACCUCCAGGAAGCUCAGUGAUCUCCAAGGAGCACAUCAUAAUCAAUGGUUAAAAGACAAAGAACCGUGGAAAGAGUGAGAGAAACGACUGGUCACGUACAGGAACACACAGUAAGAUUGACCCAGGUUCUCUUCAGAAACCAUGGAGGUCAGAAGGGAGUGGGAUGACAUCCUUGAAGUGCUAAAAGGAAAAUGAGUUGAGAGUUUUUAUAUCUAUUAAAUUAUCUUUCCACAAUAAAGGGACACUACUGUGCACCUGAAACUAGUAUAAGACUGUGUAUUAACUACACCAGAAUUAAAACAAAAUUAAAUAAAAAACAAAAAAGGGAAAAGGAAGAUAUUCCCAGAGAAAAGCUGAGGAAGUUCAUCACUACAGACCUAUACUACAAAAAUGCCGAAGAGAGUUCUUCAGGCCAAAGCAGGACACUAGAAGUUUACUCAAAGUCAUACAAAGAAAUAAAGAAUUCCAGAAAAAAUAACUGCAUGGGGAAACAUAAACAUGCCUUUAGUUUGUAACUCCCCUUUAUUUCCUACCUGACUUAAAAAACAAAUACAUAAAACAACAAUUACCUAUCGGUGUCACUGGGAAUACAACGUAUAAGGAUAUGAGUUGUGACAACAUAAGGCGAGUUCUACGGAAACUUGGUUUUGUAUGCCACUGAAGCUGCUGGUAUCAGUUCAAACUGGAGUUCUAUAAGUUUAGGAUAUUAAAGGCAACCCUCAUGGGAACAAGAAAAUAAUUUAAAAAUAUACAUAAUAGGACUAAGAAGAGAAUAAUUGUACCCCACUAAAAAAGUCAAUUAAACACAAGACAAGGUAGUAGAAGAAAUGAGAAACAAACAGAGGUAUAAGAUAUACAACACAAAUAGCAAAAUGGCAACCCUUCCUGGUCAGUAAUCACACUAAAUGUAAAGGAUUACCUUCUUCAAUCAAAAGAGACGGGCAGAAUGGGUAAAAAGAAAUUAUACAACUUACACUGCGUACCGGAUACUCCUUUCAGAUGUAAAGACGCAAACAGACUGAAAGUGAAAGAACGGGACAUGAUCUUCUACGGAACAAGUAUCCAGCAGAGAACCGAGGUGGGUGUGCUGAUGCCAGGGAAACAGACUUUAGGUCAAAAAUGGCUAUAGAAGACAAAAAAGGACACUAGAUACUGAGGGAAGAAGACUGUGAUGAAGAAGACCCAGCAAUUACAAACACAUCUACUUUGAACAACAGACUUCCCCAAUACAUGAGGCCAACAUGGACAGAAUCGAGGGGAGACACUGAUAGUUCUGUACCAAUAGUUGCAGACUUCAGUACCUCAUACUCAGUAACUGGGUGGAACAGCCAGACAGAAGAGCAACAGGGAAAGAGAAAACCUAUAGAGCAACACUAUAAACCAAGGAAACGUUACAAACAUAUAGAGGGUACUCUACCCAGCAACAGCAGAACACGCAUUCUUCUCAAGUUCACGUGGAAUGGUCUCCAAGGUAGAUCACAGGUUGGGUCACAAAGCAGUCUCAGUAGAUUUCAAAAGUUAAAUCAUAUCAAGUAUCUUCUCCAACCAAAAUGGAAGGAGGCUAGAAAUCAGUAAUAGAAGGAAAAUGAACAAAUCUGUGGAAAUUAAGGGCUCAAACACUCUUUAAAAACUAGUGGAUCAAAGAAGACAUGAUAAGGGAGAUUAGAAAAUACUCUGAGAGGAAUGAAAAUGAAGACACAACAUACCCAGACAUGGAUGUGAUGAAAGCAGUGCUCGGGGAAAAUUCUACCUGCAAAGUCGCACAUUGAGAAGGAAAAAACACCUCCAAUAAACUAACGUUAUAGCUUAGGGAGCUAGAAAGAGAAAAAGUAAACCCAAAGUUAGCAGAAAGAAAGAAAUAGUAAGUAGGAGACUGGUGAGAGAUGCAAGAAAAUAGGAAAACAAAAUACUCAAAAAUAAGAAGUUGGCUUUUUUGAAAUGAUCAAUAAAAUUGACAAACUUUUAGCUAGAACGACUAAGAAAAGAAUUAGAGACAAUGCAUAUAAAUAGUAAAUGAACAUGGGAAUAUUAUGCUUGACCUUACAGAAAUAAAGAGAAUUAUAAGACAAUACUAUGAAAAGUCGUACUUCAAGAAAUUAGAUCACUUACAUGGAAUAAACAAACUCUUAGAAACACGCAAGUACAAAAACUGACUCAAGAAGAAACAGAAAUUCUGAACAGAUAUACAACAAGUAAAAAGUUUGAAUCAGUGAUGAAUGAGCUCCUAAGGAAGAGAAGUCCAGGAACUGAUGGCUUCGCUGGUGAAUUACAUCAAACGUUUAAAGAUGAACUAACACCAAUUCUUUAACAAAAAAGAAGGCAAGGAGACACUUCGCUCUACAUUCUAUAAAACUAGUAUUACUCUGCUACCAAAGCCAAACAAGUACACCACAUAAAUGCUAGAUACCAAUAUCCUUAGACAUGCAAAACUCCUCAACAAAAUGCCAGUAAACCAAAUCCAGUGGCAUAUUAAGAAGAUUAUGCACCAUGGCCAAGUGGGAUUUAUCUCAAGAAUGGAGGGCGGAUUCGACACAAGAAAAAUCAAUCAAUGUAAUAUAUCGUAUUGACAGAAAAAGGAAAAAAAACCCUAGGAGGACCUCAAAGGCAGAAAUGAAUACCCAGUGGCCUUUCAGGAUAAAAAUUCCUAGAAAAAUAGGAAUAGAAGGGAACCUCCUCAACAUGAUAAAGAACAUUUCUGGAAAACCCGCAGCUACCUCAUACUCAAUGGCGUAAAGACUGAAAACUUGCUUCUUGAAAGCAGGAACUAGGUGAGAAUGACCGUGUUCACCACAGCUUUUCAGUAAUGUAAGGAAAGGGUUAGCUAUAGCAAUCAGGCAAAAACAAACAAACAAACCCACAAAAAUUAAAAAAAUGAAAAUCAUCUAUUUUGGAAAAGAAGAAGUAAAAUUAUUUUUAUUCACAGAUGACAUAAUCCUAUACAUAGAAAACCCCAAGGAAUCUUCAAAAGAAAAAACAAAAGAAAAACCACUACCGGAGCUACUAAGUGAGUUCAGUGAAGUCACAGGGCACAUGGUCAAGAACACAAGAAAUCGUGUAUUUCUAUCUGCCAGCAGUGAGCGAUCUAAGAAGGAAAAUGAUUUUCCAGUCCCAUUUACAACAGCAUCCAUGGUCAUGGCCUGGAAGGUUUAGUAUUUUCAUGAUGACAGUAUGACCCGUGAUCUACAGAUGCAGUGCAAUCCCUGCCAACAUUCUCAUGGCCUUUUUAAAAAAACAGAGAUGGAAAAACUGAUCCUAGAGUGUUCAUGGAAUUGCAAGGGGCCUGCAUUGCUGAGACAGUGUUGAAAAGAACGGUGGAAGGCUCGCCCAGUCCACUCUCGAAACUCACAGAGAGCUACAGCAGCCGUGGCAGUGUGGUCGUGGCGGAAAGACAGACGUGCAGACCAAUGGACAGACUGGACCCACAAGAAAUAAACCCUCACAUUCAUGGACAACGGACAACGGAUACAACAGGGUGUCGCGACUAUUCAGCUGGAAGGAACAGUGUCUUUAACAAACGGCACUGGGACAAGUCGGUGAAAGAAUGAAGCCAGACCCCAACCUCACACCACGUACAACGGCGAAAUACAGCUGAUGCACAAACGUAAGAGUGAAAACCACGAGUUUCUCAGAAGACGACGUGGGGUAAACCAUACAAACUUGGAUCUGGCAAUAAAUUGCCAGAUAUAAACAACAGCCACAUCUAAAUGCUACCAGACUGCUUGUUGUUAAAACAGUCAGUUGUGAGAAUAUCCCUUCAUUAAGAAAUAAAGGAUAGAAUCUUAAAGAUAAAAAAUGGGGUGGGGGCGUCUGGGUGGCUCAGUGGGUUAAGCUGCUGCCUUCGGCUCAGGUCAUGAUCUCAGGGUCCUGGGAUCGAGCCCCGCAUUGGGCUCUCUGUUGAGCAGGGAGCCUGCUUCCUCCUCUCUCUCUGCCUGCCUCUCUGC